ACACAUGCAAGUCGGACGGUAGCACAGAGGAGCUUGCUCUCGGGUGACAAGUGGCGGACGGGUGAGUAAUGUCUGGGGAUCUGCCCGAUAGAGGGGGAUAACCACUGGAAACGGUGGCUAAUACCGCAUAACGUCGCACGACCAAAGAGGGGGACCUUCGGGCCUCUCACUAUCGGAUGAACCCAGAUGGGAUUAGCUAGUAGGCGGGGUAAUGGCCCACCUAGGCGACAAUCCCUAGCUGGUCUGAGAGGAUGACCAGCCACACUGGAACUGAGACACGGUCCAGACUCCUACGGGAGGCAGCAGUGGGGAAUAUUGCACAAUGGGCGCAAGCCUGAUGCACCCAUGCCGCGUGUAUGAAAAAAGCCUUCGGGUUGUAAAGUACUUUCAGCGGGGAGGAAGGCGAUGGGGUUAAUAACCCCGUCUAUUGACGUUACCCGCAGAAAAAACACCGGCUAACUCCGUGCCAGCAGCCGCGGUAAUACGGAGGGUGCAAGCGUUAAUCGGAAUUACUGGGCGUAAAGCGCACGCAGGCGGUCUGUUAAGUCAGAUGUGAAAUCCCCGGGCUUAACCUGGGAACUGCAUUUGAAACUGGCAGGCUUGAGUCUUGU
rnacentral:rRNA from 1 species